UACGGAGGGGGCUAGCGUUGUUCGGAAUUACUGGGCGUAAAGCGCACGUAGGCGGCUUUGUAAGUUAGAGGUGAAAGCCCGGGGCUCAACUCCGGAAUUGCCUUUAAGACUGCAUCGCUAGAAUUGUGGAGAGGUAAGUGGAAUUCCGAGUGUAGAGGUGAAAUUCGUAGAUAUUCGGAAGAACACCAGUGGCGAAGGCGACUUACUGGACACAUAUUGACGCUGAGGUGCGAAAGCGUGGG
rnacentral:rRNA from 1 species